CUCUGGUGGGGAUUGCCUCAGCACUUCCCAGUGAAGGCAUUCACAUUGGCUUUACUUAAAUUGAGAUGGAGCAAAAGAUGCUGACACGUGGAUAGGAAGGCAGUAUCUGGUGCUGUAUGUGAAGACAUGACUGAGCAGAAAAUUGAAGGGGGAGGAGGGAAGCCCAAAAUUCUGGUAACAUACCAAGUGAUGGAAUAUCCAGUUUGUACUCCAGAUGGUCACCUUCAUAUUCAGGUUCUGGCAAAGGAGCUGUUCUUUUUUGAGGAAGCCUAGCAGGACUGACUGCUGGGGACACUUGGAUUCUCUAUCUACAGGGAUGCACUUGUAUAGCUCUUUCUGUUGGACAUCUGCAGUUGGGUGUGCAGGUGAUGCUCUGCAAAAUGGACCCUCUAUAUGGCUAAAACUAUCUGUGUCUGAAGGCAAGUUCUCUGAUUGUACAGCAGUACAGAGGAAGCUGGAAACUUGAUGAAAUACUUCUGUUGGUCCCGCUUAAGUUUUUAAAUCAUAAUAAUCAAUAGAAGGUGAUGUCUAAUAGUACAUACCAACUGUGAUAAAACAGAAUCAUUGACAGAUAUAAUUGCUAUUAGGCUAUAAGCUGUCAAUGUGCAACUACAUCCUGGCUCUGUAAUUUCACUGCAGGGCUCUCAUUCAGACCAUUCAGCAAAAGUGUAUCCACUCCAUCUACCUUUUGAGUAGAAAGCUGCAAGUAUCAACUUCCUGUAGAGACUGAGUUGACUAGGAGCUGUACCCUCCCCCCUGCCAUAAGUUUUUAGUUUUGUUGAAAGCUUGAGUCUCUUUCAAUCUUAGCGUAUUUCACCCUUUUUUAAAAGUUAGUUUCCUAAUGGCCAUAUGGUCAACCAAGAAUUAAUGCACUAAUGACAAGCUGCCAGUUUCAUUCCAAAAUGAGUUUCUCUAAGAAUGGUCUUCUCUGAAAAUGUGACACAGAUAAGUAACAGUUCUGAGCUGCAUGUGGCCCCUUGUCUGUCUCCUUGCCUGCUGUUUGUUGAUUUUUAAAUCUAAAUUCGGUCUCUGGUAAAUAUAAAAGUGAAAUUAAAGACUAAGGGAGUAUAGAUAACCAAAUUUUAUAGCACAAGGGCUCUCAGUUUUGAAACUUUUAGAAUCUGACAAGAUUAUCUUUUCCCUUCUGAGCAUUAUGUGUUUUAUUUUGCCCUAAUGGGUUGUUUUUGGCAAGAUGAUACAUGGAAAGAGGAGUGUGUUUAAAGUGGGAAAAAUUUAGUAAGAAUUGCCAUCCUGAAGUAGUGGAAAAAAUGCAUAAUACAGAAAUGUGUGUGUAUUUAAAGAAGCCUUUUCCUUCCCUGUUUUUAAAAAAAGCAAAGAAAAAAAGUCAUAAUUGUGAAAACUAGUAUCUGCAAUUUCAUCUUGAUCUCUGACUUUAUGCAAGUUAUGAACUUUUCUUGAAAAGUCAUUUUUUCAGGAAGUUCCAAGCUAGUCCCAGGGUUAUAUCUUGAAUAUAAGUGAACAUAACAUUCAUCUUCAUUUUUUCCCGCUUUUUGUUGAUAGGUAAUUUCUCUAUGUUUUCAGUGUUAGACUUGUCUCAAAUGUCAUUCAAGGUAUUAUUCUCAUGUAUAACUAUUUUCUACAUCUCCUUCAGUAAUUCCAGUCUAUUGUCUUUUGCAACAUCUUGUAUUCAGAUCACAUAAGUUUACCGGUGCAGAGAUUGAGUGAGAAUGCUCAAGUGAGUAGCUUAAUUUUGACUUGCGCUACCAGCAACAGUAGAAAAUAAAUUUCUCAGUGAAUGCUUUGUUUUAUUUCCUUGCUAUGGAAAUCUUUUUAGUUUUAAAUGAGCACUAUGACUGAAAUAAUUAAUCAGUGUUGUUAUAUGGCUCAACUUGGAAAAUGUUUUCUGUUUUAGCUUUCAAGUGCUGUUUCUUGUGCUUUCUUUUGUUUGUAUUAAUUACAUGGUAGCAUUUUAUCUAAUCGGAGAACUUCUGUAAAAUUGUUCAGUCAGAAUGUGAACACUCAACUCAACAACAGAUGCAAUGACCAGCUAAACUGAACAAAUUUAAGGAAGCAUCAUUACAGAUGGUAUACUUGGGCUUCAGAAAGGAUAAUCUUUUUUUUUUUUUUUUUUCCUUGCCCUUUCUCUCCUGAGAAAGUCCACAAGAAAACUGUAGAUAAUGUAGCUACUGGGAUGUGGUGCCACUUGUUUUUCCCACUCAGAGAUCUCCUGGGAGAGAUGAGCCUUGUACGCUGUGUGUGUGUUUGGGGGAGAGGGGGAAUUCAAACCCUGCAAAAUUGCUGCUGCAGCAAAGUUUUCCUUUCUUAUGUCAGAGAAGUCUCCAUCUUGAGAUCUAUAAAAUAGGGAUGCAUGAACCCAGAAUUCUCUGUUUACACAUCUGGUGUUCACUUCUUUACUACUCUUGUCAUUUUUCAUGUGUGUGGUUUUCUUGUUGAUGUGGGUUUCUUUAGUUUGCUUUUAGUAGACCUAAAUAAACAAUGUACUUAUGGACUUCCUUUUAAGAAAAAAGAUUAAAUUCUCUUAUCCCUUUAAAUGACAUCUAUUGUCAUUAUCCUCUGAAAUUAACAACUAAAAUGUAAAUGGAGAUGGUAGCAUUCAGUGUUAAAUUGUCGAGAUCAUACUUGUAUUAUGUUCUUCAAAGAAUAUCUACUAAUUGAUAAUUACAUUUGGUUAUGGUUUUAGAGGUCAAAAUGUGGCAGACAGUUAUCUCUGUAACACAUGUGGAGCUGGAGUCGCUCAGACACAGGCCAUCUAACACUGUGUUCUGUGCCUGAAUUGUCAACAGAAGCUGCUGUCAGAGUUCUUAUUUUGUUACGAAAAAUGUUGUAGUUGUGAUGGAAAUAGUAGAGUACUUCCAAGGUUUCAGAAUAUGUCCCCAUGCUGCACUUCAAAGUAUGGUUUUUAUUGUCAUAUGAAAAAAUAGUCUGCUAGAAAGAAACAGUAAUUUUUGUCUUUUGCCUCUGCCAGUUAGCAAUCAUUGGUGUCACACGGACAUAACCGUUCAUAGUACAUACUAGAAGGAAAGAGGAGCAUAUAGGAAAUAAACAGUAUAGUUCCAUAAUUUACAAGUUGUGUUUGUUUGUUUUUGCCAUGACCAGCUGAACACCAAAUAAAAGUUGGGGGUGCAGGGAAAGUAACUUCCAGAUAUCUCAUGACACUUGGGAAGAAGUUCUUAUGGAUCUUGCCUCAGAGUAGCUUCUGGCAAUUAUAGUGAAAUAAGUUUGGAUAGCAAAUGUUGUUCCUGAUUUAUCAGGCAGAUCUUGUUAAUAUGGUAUUCAGCACCUGAUUGCUCCCAGUAUUAAAGUUGUUCCAAUAAUAAAGGCAAAUUUUACCUCAUUCAAGAAAUUACAACAUAGUUUGAAAAUGAUGAAUAUCCUUGCUGUGUAAUCUCUUGAAAAUAAUCCACGGUUUCUCUCUUCUUGCAGUUCUUC